rnacentral:rRNA from 1 species
UUGUAGCCUUGCUAUGGUAUAACUUAGUGGCAGACGGGUGAGUAAUGUAUAGGAAUCUACCUAGUAGUACGGAAUAAUUGUUGGAAACGACAACUAAUACCGUAUACGCCCUACGGGGGAAAAAUUUAUUGCUAUUAGAUGAGCCUAUAUUAGAUUAGCUAGUUGGUGGGGUAAUAGCCUACCAAGGUAAUGAUCUAUAGCUGAUCUGAGAGGAUGAUCAGCCACACUGGAACUGAGAUACGGUCCAGACUCCUACGGGAGGCAGCAGUGGGGAAUAUUGGACAAUGGGCGAAAGCCUGAUCCAGCCAUGCCGCAGAGUGAAGAAGGCCUUUGGGUUGUAAAGCUCUUUUAGUGAGGAAGAUAAUGACGGUACUCACAGAAGAAGUCCUGGCUAACUCCGUGCCAGCAGCCGCGGUAAUACGGAGAGGGCUAGCGUUAUUCGGAAUUAUUGGGCGUAAAGGGCGCGUAGGCUGGUUAAUAAGUUAAAAGUGAAAUCCCGAGGCUUAACCUUGGAAUUGCUUUUAAAACUAUUAAUCUAGAGAUUGAAAGAGGAUAGGGGAAUUCCUGAUGUAGAGGUAAAAUUCGUAAAUAUUAGGAGGAACACCAGUGGCGAAGGCGUCUAUCUGGUUCAAAUCUGACGCUGAAGCGCGAAGGCGUGGGGAGCAAACAGGAUUAGAUACCCUGGUAGUCCACGCUGUAAACGAUGAAUGUUAAAUAUGGGGAGUUUACUUUCUGUAUUACAGCUAACGCGUUAAACAUUCCGCCUGGGGACUACGGUCGCAAGAUUAAAACUCAAAGGAAUUGACGGGGACCCGCACAAGCGGUGGAGCAUGUGGUUUAAUUCGAUGCAACGCGAAAAACCUUACCACUUCUUGACAUGAAAAUCAAA